GGCAGCUUAGUGGUUAGAGCAUCGGACUCCAGACCGGAAGGCUUGGGUUCGAUGCCCAAUGCCA